AAUCAACGCUGGCGGCGUGCCUAACACAUGCAAGUCGAACGCGAAAGUCCCGCAAGGGAUCAGUAGAGUGGCAAACGGGUGAGUAACACGUGGGUGACCUGCCUUCGAGCGGGGGAUAACGUCCCGAAAGGGACGCUAAUACCGCAUGACAUCCUGCCUUUUAAGAGGUGGAGAUCAAAGCUGGGGAUCGCAAGACCUAGCACUCGAAGAGGGGCCCGCGCCUGAUUAGCAGUUGGUGGGGUAACGGCUCACCAAGGCUACGAUCAGUAUCCGGCCUGAGAGGGCGGACGGACACACUGGGACUGAGACACGGCCCAGACUCCUACGGGAGGCAGCAGUGGGGAAUUGUUCGCAAUGGGCGCAAGCCUGACGACGCAACGCCGCGUGGAGGAUGAAGGUCUUCGGAUUGUAAACUCCUGUUG
rnacentral:rRNA from 1 species